UAAUGGAAACGAUGUAGGGAAACUGAAGC
rnacentral:piRNA from 1 species